rnacentral:rRNA from 1 species
AAUGGGUCAGCGACUUAUAUUCUGUAGCAAGGUUAACCGAAUAGGGGAGCCGAAGGGAAACCGAGUCUUAACUGGGCGUUAAGUUGCAGGGUAUAGACCCGAAACCCGGUGAUCUAGCCAUGGGCAGGUUGAAGGUUGGGUAACACUAACUGGAGGACCGAACCGACUAAUGUUGAAAAAUUAGCGGAUGACUUGUGGCUGGGGGUGAAAGGCCAAUCAAACCGGGAGAUAGCUGGUUCUCCCCGAAAGCUAUUUAGGUAGCGCCUCGUGAAUUCAUCUCCGGGGGUAGAGCACUGUUUCGGCAAGGGGGUCAUCCCGACUUACCAACCCGAUGCAAACUGCGAAUACCGGAGAAUGUUAUCACGGGAGACACACGGCGGGUGCUAACGUCCGUCGUGAAGAGGGAAACAACCCAGACCGCCAGCUAAGGUCCCAAAGUCAUGGUUAAGUGGGAAACGAUGUGGGAAGGCCCAGACAGCCAGGAUGUUGGCUUAGAAGCAGCCAUCAUUUAAAGAAAGCGUAAUAGCUCACUGGUCGAGUCGGCCUGCGCGGAAGAUGUAACGGGGCUAAACCAUGCACCGAAGCUGCGGCAGCGACACUAUGUGUUGUUGGGUAGGGGAGCGUUCUGUAAGCCUGUGAAGGUGUACUGUGAGGUAUGCUGGAGGUAUCAGAAGUGCGAAUGCUGACAUAAGUAACGAUAAAGCGGGUGAAAAGCCCGCUCGCCGGAAGACCAAGGGUUCCUGUCCAACGUUAAUCGGGGCAGGGUG